CAUUAGUGUAUAUUAAAGUUGUUGCGGUUAAAAAGCUCGUAGUUGGAUUUCUGUUGGGUAUCGUGAGGUCUGCUCCUCGAGUACGUAUCUUCAUCGAUCCUGGCAUCCUCGUAACGCUCUGUGGUAUUAAUUUAUUGCUUGGCUUACGACUUUUACUUUGAGGAAAUUAGAGUGUUCACGGCAGGCAUUUGCUUUGAAUAUAUUAGCAUGGAAUAAUAACAUAGGACUUCGGUUUUAUUUUUGUUUGGUUUUCUUAAGGACUGAAGUAAAUAGAUUAAUUAGGGACGAAUUAGGGGGUCGGACUCGUACAAACUACGUCAGAGGUGGAAUU
rnacentral:rRNA from 1 species